ACGAACGCUGGCGGCGUGCUUAACACAUGCAAGUCGAACGGUGAAGCGCCUUCCUUUUUGGUGGGUGUGGAUGAGUGGCGAACGGGUGAGUAACACGUGAGUAACCUGCCCCCUUCUUCUGGAUAACCGCAUGAAAGUGUGGCUAAUACGGGAUAUUCUGGGUCUGUCGCAUGUUGGGUCUGGGAAAGAUAUUGUUUCGGUGGGGGAUGGGCUCGCGGCCUAUCAGCUUGUUGGUGGGGUGAUAGCCUACCAAGGCGGUGACGGGUAGCCGGCCUGAGAGGGUGGACGGUCACACUGGGACUGAGACACGGCCCAGACUCCUACGGGAGGCAGCAGUGGGGAAUAUUGCACAGUGGGCGCAAGCCUGAUGCAGCGACGCCGCGUGAGGGAUGGAGGCCUUCGGGUUGUGAACCUCUUUCGCCAGUGAAGCAGGCCUGCCUCGUUUGUGGGUGGGUUGACGGUAGCUGGAUAAGAAGCGCCGGCUAACUACGUG
rnacentral:rRNA from 1 species